AAUGAUUUUAUAAAUGAGUCUUCUAAACUUAUUUUAGGUUUUACCUGAUCAUUU
rnacentral:tRNA from 1 species